CUCGAACACGGGGCACUCUGGCGGUGGUAGAAAGUCUUCAGGCCCUGGCUCCAUGGUCGACCUGGAUGCUAAUCUAUGAAAUGAGAUUCGAUAUUUCGUCACCGUGGCAUAGAUCUUUCCUGAGCCUAAAACCGGGGGCUCAGAAAUGGCUUUACUUUAUUCUUAGUUCUGAAAUUAAUAGGUGAGAGGUGUACUGCUUACCAAUCGUCACGGACUUCACUUUUACAGCCACCAUCUUGACCUCUGAAUUUUCCCGUCUGCCUUUACACAGUGUCACUCCGCGGAUCGAUCCUGCAGGCUUCUAGGUAUCGCCAAACGUAAGAGAGUGGUGCACUCCCGCAAAAAGUUGAAGACGCAAGGGAGGGUUCACCCACAAAAAUCCUUAAUUUGGUCGAACGAGUUACCUUAAACAUCACAGCAGAGCAAGAUUGUAAAUAGUACCGCCGGAACUUUUUUCCUGGGUCCAUUGCGCAUGUCACGCCUGCGUAUUAGCGGGAACAACAGUGGAAGGAGCCAGGAAGUCGCUACGCUCCGGGUGCGCUAACGAAAUUUCUUCCAAGACUUAAGGGUUCCCAUUUCUGCACCCUGGCUUUGUGGGACGUCAACACGUGACUACAAUGUAGACUUCUGGAACCCUGGGUGCAAGACACACAGGAUCAAAGUAGCUGAACAAAACUCAGAUCAAUCUUGUGACUGAAACCAGGAUGGCGUGAAGAGACUGGCAAGACUCCAAGAUGACAUGAAGAUACUUAGACAUGUCCACCUCAAAGAAAAGUCAGAAUUCCUAGAAAUCUCUAAACCCUGACCUUCCCCCUGUAAAACCAUCCAGUUAGCCCUUUAGAGUUAGAAUUUGGGAGGAGUUUUACCCCCUCUGUCUCUUGGAUACUGAAGUUCAAUAAAACUCCCU